rnacentral:lncRNA from 1 species
ACUAAUUCAUUGGGCAUCUUUAAUUUAUUCCUCGCUAUAAAAAAUAUGAGCAAGAGCGACAUUUGCCUAGUCAUAUUUUACUCAAGUCGUGAUACAAUCCAUACAUAUUCAUUUGAUGUAUGAAGAAAGCUAGCAUCGCUAUGGUAGUUUUAACCACAAAAGAAAUUGUCACAAGUUUUGUCUUUUUGGAGAAGUCAAAUCCUCAUCGAGAAAAUGGACAAACUAACAUAAAAAUAAUAGUGUUUGACCGAAAAAAAUAUAUACGAAUAAUAGUGGCUCUUAACUACUAAUAUCGAUUUCUUAUUACAUAAAGAUCAUUCAUGGUUAGGGAUUGGGCCCGACUGAUUCAUGGAUGUCAUCAAUAGUGAUAAGCCCGUAACUCAAUCUAGUAGUAAGAAAGGGAGUGGGGAUACUUUAUCCUCCACCGAUGUUUUUGUUAUUUGUUUAAAAAAAAUUCCUGAUAGUUCUCCUAAAAGAAAGGAGGUUAAUUAAGUGAGAUAUAUAUCAAUAUCAUAGAUGAUACAAAGUGGUGCAGCACGCAAAUAGAGCACAAUAUGCGCAAAUUCUAGUACACAACAUGAUCAAAGUUUUGUUCGAACAUAAACGAGAGAAGAAGAGGAAGCGAUCCGUAUACACCUUUUUUUGGAGAAAAGUAACACUUUAUAGAAUAAUAAUCAACAACUAAUUACAACCAUGAGAGAUUUCGAUUGUGGACAACCAAGUCCUCACACUCCUCCCUACCCACAUACCUGCAAUUAUAAUGACAAUGAACCGAAAAAUGUUCCAAAUGUAAUCUACUCCUAACCCCAUUCAGAAUCCUUGAUAUCUCCUUACAACCAACCUCAAGAAGAAACAACCCCCGUUAAGCACUACAUACCAAAACCGUCAGCAUAUAUGCAGGGGCAACCUUCCCAUUACAUUGACAACAAGAAAACACCUAUCUUAAAACCCAUAGUCCUUGUACACGACACCAAACAUGACUCUACCAAUACCACCAACGACUAACACCCUAACAUCCUCGCCUAUAAGGGAGGGACGACAGACAAUCGACAUUAAACCAAAAAAACAAAAACUAAAAAACCCUAAACCUAGGCCCAACAGGGCCCAAGCCCAAACCAACCCCACCUGGACCUUCAAAGAUCAGGCCCCUAUUGACCAGGCCCAAAGAGAGUUGAACAUGGAUGCAGACGCCGCCGUAGCGUCGUCGAUGCCAGCCGCCGUCGGAAGACCGUUAUCGUCCGCGCAACCGUGGAGAGGCAUCCUACCACCAUCCUCCAUCCUCUAAGAUCCACGUAAAAUCAAGGCAGGAAGGCCAAGACCUUCGCCUCCGCGAUCUCCCUAUCGUGCCGCUCAACCGCCCCAUCCAUCCCCUCCACAGACACGUCGCGAAACGCCGUUCCCGAACGAUGACGAAGCCUCCCCGACAGAGCGUCAUAGCGCUGCAAAUGCAGGCCACCAACUUCUCGGUCUGCCUUUAUAGAAGCCAUCUCCUUUUCAGUCCAUCCAACCACCCGUCCGGCAGCAAACCCAACCCGUCCCAACGAGGCUAGGAGCCAACGCCGGUGUGGAGAUGCCGCCAGACAAGCAACGACUUCACAACCUCGAACUUUGCCCUUCAUGUAUACACCUUAAACUAUAUUAAUUGUUGAUACCGCUUUUAAGCCUAAGAUUUAAUCUCUCGGUAUAUGUAAAAUGCUCUAAUUAUGUAUUACAAUACAGUAUAACAUGAUAAGCCCUCAUUAACUUUUUUUUUUUUUCAAGGAGCCCUUAAAACCGAAAAUACCAUUAUCAUAUGUCUAUAUAAUUAGGUAAUAAUAAAGGUGCCAAUAAGCCGUUAGGAUUAUGUAAUGUAGAUCAGAACAAGGAAAUUGAGGUGGAUGGUUGUUGAUAUAUCAAGAAAAAUGCUGUUUGCUUUGGUCUCACCUACUACCAUUGCUGUCGUGUAUGGUUUUGUCAUAAUGAGCAGAGCGUCCACGACAUACAAGAAAUCAUGUAUAGUUAAAAAUAAUUAAUUCAUUACAUCUUAAUUACAGUACUAGCUAGCUGAUUUAGUAUGUAGUCUUUGGUUUGGGGUGAAGCUUCUAGCUAAUUAGCUAUAGUCGAACGAGUCAAAUCAUGCUUUCUGGAAAGCAACAUGCAAACCAGUAAUGAUGAAUUGAUGAUCAGAUAGUAUUUGACCACUUAAAUUAUAUAUGCUGAAGCUGCUGAACCAUUUUUUUAAUUUUUUUUUAUCCAAAGACAUUAACUUUUAUUAAUUACAACUUAAAAAUGAGCACAACAACAUGAACAUGAUCCUCUUACGGGGGUUAUCAUGUGAAAGUAUCUAGUAGACACUAAACAGCCUAUAUGCUGAAGACCAUAAGAUGAAGCACUAUGAUCAAUAUUCCGUAGUAGCAAACAGGACAAGUACCUAGCCAUCGAGACACAAGAAGGAAAAGACAAGCCUCAACAACCCUAGUCUAAAAACGAAAAAAUAAAAUAAAAUAAAAAAGGGUGUAGGCCCAAGACCCAAGCCCAGGACAGACCCAAAAUGGGCACAACCCUAAGCCCAAGUCUCAGACCAACAAAGAAGGAGAACCAAUAUCCAGCUCGACCCAGCCUAAACCAUCAUCAGCCAAACAGCCCACAACCUGCCCCUCACCUCAUCUGUCUGCCACCGAACCCCCGCCGCCGUCGUGACCUCGCCAGCCUUCACCACCACCACCCCACUAAGCCAUACCACCACCCAAACAGCCCAACCAUUGUGUACAACAACCCAAAUUAAAUCCAUGCCACAACAGUGGAUCGAAAAGCUAGCCUAUCAUACUCCUUGAAAUCCUCCAGCAUGGACCUAAUUAGUCUCAUGAUUCUCUUCAACUGAAAAGUCUGAGGGACGACACUACAAGAAAUCCAGUAUGUAAUACUCCGACAAUAUAAAAGUCGAUGAAUAUUAAGAUAUAGGCGUAAAUCCUGGACUAUUGGUGUCACACCCCAAUUUUCGAAGGAUAAAUUUUCAAAAAUUUGGGCAUGAUAUAACUUAAAAUCUUAUUAUCCCAAAACCUGCUCAACAACUUCCAAACUAUAAACAAAUACUAGAAAUAUAAAUGUCAACAAACUCAACAACUGAGUUAAACAUUAUAUCUCCUUAAAUACAUCAACUUCAAAAGUCUAGUAAUGAUAACAUCGCUCACAUGAGCUUAAAGACAACUUAUCAAAAUAUACAAAAUAAAUGCACAUUGUUUAAAACCCAGCUCCUAAGCCACCGCCUCAACCCUGCUGAUUAUCACCUGCAGGUCUAACCCCUACACCAAAAAAUAGGUGCACCGGGUUGUAAACAAUAAACCCGGUAAGCUGAAAAGCCCGUAUGAGUAACUCUAAAAAAAAAUAUUUCAACCCAACAUCACACAAAAUAAAACCGGAAAUUCCUGCUUAGCACUUAAUUCAGGAAUUGCCUCAACAAUAAAAUUCAAAGAGAGAAAUUGAGAAAACAUAACAAUUCACAAAACAAUCAAUCAUAAGAGAAUCCUGCAAAUAAAGAUAGUUCAGGAAAUUUCACUCAAAAUUCACACAAUAAGAAUUGAAGAAUCUCCUGCAUUAAGCAUAGUUCAGGAGAUACUCAAAACAAGUUAAAUGACAACAAUUAAGAACAAAGUUAAAACCACAUUUUCAACACUUUCACAAAUAACAUAUACCCAUGAGUCCCAGAUAUUAAAAAAUACCUCUCAUGACCUACAACAACAAUUUGUGCACCCACGGGUCCUAGAUACCAUAAGGUAUCUUUCAUGACCUACACCAACAGACGGACUAGAGCUCUAUUCCUAACCGUAACUAAUCACCCGGCCAAAGGCUUGGAACCCAAUUUGACUGUUCAAUAUCACAUCACAAAAUAAUAAUAGCGUCAUAACCAUAACCAAUCACCCGACUAAAGGCUUGGAACCCAGUUUGACUAUCUACACAACAAUUCUCAAAAAGAGUAGAAUCAUCAUAACCGCAACCAAUCACCCGAUUAAGGGCUUGGAACCCAGUUUAACUAUCUACUUGUUUUAUCUCACCUAUGAGCCGUUGGCGAUCAAGCUCAUUUAUUUUUAAAAACAAACAAUAGCAUAUUCUUUAAUUCAACAUUAUUAACAACACAAAAAGUACAUCAUAAAAAUUAUAUCAUUCCACAUAGAUAUAUUUAUAUGCACAAGACAUGGUUAUUCCCACAAGAAUAACUUAUCAACAACCAAAAAUACUAUAAUUUUAUGAACCAUAAAAAUAAUCAUAUACUUGGAAAACUUGUUUUAUCUUAUCUAUGAGCCGUUGGCGAUCAAGCUCAUUUAUUUGAAAACAACCAAAAAGAAAUAAAAUAAUUUUAAAUUAAAAACAUCAACAAAAUCAUCAUCAUUUUAUCAACAAAAACCUUAUCAUCAUCACUAUCAACAUCAUAAUAAUCAUUAUCAACAACACAAUAAUUAUCACCAUCAUCAUCCUCAUCAUUCAC